GACGAACGCUGGCGGCGUGCUUAACACAUGCAAGUCGAACGGAAAGGCCCUGCUUUUGUGGGGUUCUCGAGUGGCGAACGGGUGAGUAACACGCGUGUAACCCGCCCUUGACUUUGGGAUAACUCCAGGAAACUGGGGCUAAUACCGGAUAGGAGCUCUUGCUGCAUGGUGGGGGUUGGAAAGUUUCGGCGGUUGGGGAUGGACUCGCGGCUUAUCGGCUUGAUGGUGGGGUAGUGGCUUACCAAGGUUUUGACGGGUAGCCGGCCUGAGAGGGGGACCGGCGACAUGGGGACUGAGAUACGGCCCAGAAUCCUACGGGAGGCAACGGUGGGGAGUAUUGCACAAUGGGCGGAAGCCUGAUGCAGCAACGCCGCGUGCGGGAUGACGGCCUUCGGGUUGUAAACCGAUUUCGCCUGUGACGAGGCGUGAGUGACGGUACUGGGUAAAGAAGCACCGGCUAACUACGUG
rnacentral:rRNA from 1 species